rnacentral:rRNA from 1 species
AGAGUUUGAUCCUGGCUCAGAACGAACGCUGGCGGCGUGGAUAAGACAUGCAAGUCGAACGAGAGAAUUGCUAGCUUGCUAAUAAUUCUCUAGUGGCGCACGGGUGAGUAACACGUGAGUAACCUGCCCCCGAGAGCGGGAUAGCCCUGGGAAACUGGGAUUAAUACCGCAUAGUAUCGAAAGAUUAAAGCAGCAAUGCGCUUGGGGAUGGGCUCGCGGCCUAUUAGUUAGUUGGUGAGGUAACGGCUCACCAAGGCGAUGACGGGUAGCCGGUCUGAGAGGAUGUCCGGCCACACUGGAACUGAGACACGGUCCAGACACCUACGGGUGGCAGCAGUCGAGAAUCAUUCACAAUGGGGGAAACCCUGAUGGUGCGACGCCGCGUGGGGGAAUGAAGGUCUUCGGAUUGUAAACCCCUGUCAUGUGGGAGCAAAUUAAAAAGAUAGUACCACAAGAGGAAGAGACGGCUAACUCUGUGCCAGCAGCCGCGGUAAUACAGAGGUCUCAAGCGUUGUUCGGAAUCACUGGGCGUAAAGCGUGCGUAGGCUGUUUCGUAAGUCGUGUGUGAAAGGCGCGGGCUCAACCCGCGGACGGCACAUGAUACUGCGAGACUAGAGUAAUGGAGGGGGAACCGGAAUUCUCGGUGUAGCAGUGAAAUGCGUAGAUAUCGAGAGGAACACUCGUGGCGAAGGCGGGUUCCUGGACAUUAACUGACGCUGAGGCACGAAGGCCAGGGGAGCGAAAGGGAUUAGAUACCCCUGUAGUCCUGGCAGUAAACGGUGCACGCUUGGUGUGCGGGGAAUCGACCCCCUGCGUGCCGGAGCUAACGCGUUAAGCGUGCCGCCUGGGGAGUACGGUCGCAAGAUUAAAACUCAAAGAAAUUGACGGGGACCCGCACAAGCGGUGGAGUAUGUGGCUUAAUUCGAUGCAACGCGAAGAACCUUACCUGGGCUUGACAUGUAAUGAACAACAUGUGAAAGCAUGCGACUCUUCGGAGGCGUUACACAGGUGCUGCAUGGCCGUCGUCAGCUCGUGUCGUGAGAUGUUUGGUUAAGUCCAGCAACGAGCGCAACCCCUGUUGCCAGUUACCAGCACGUGAAGGUGGGGACUCUGGCGAGACUGCCCAGAUCAACUGGGAGGAAGGUGGGGACGACAUCAGGUCAGUAUGGCCCUUAUGCCCAGGGCUGCACACGUACUACAAUGCCCAGUACAGAGGGGGCCGAAGCCGCGAGGCGGAGGAAAUCCUAAAAACUGGGCCCAGUUCGGACUGUAGGCUGCAACCCGCCUACACGAAGCCGGAAUCGCUAGUAAUGGCGCAUCAGCUACGGCGCCGUGAAUACGUUCCCGGGUCUUGUACACACCGCCCGUCACAUCAUGGAAGCCGGUCGCACCCGAAGUAUCUGAAGCCAACCGCAAGGAGGCAGGGUCCUAAGGUGAGACUGGUAACUGGGGUGAAGUCGUAACAAGGUAACC